CCCCCCCCCCCCCGCGGGGCUCUGAAGCCUUUUGCUAUCCACAAGCGGAAACACCAAGCAAGCCAGCCUAGGACUCCCCUCAGAAGGGUCUCAGCAAAAGUCCAGCUCAGCUCCUGACAUUGUGCGGCAUGAAGUCCGGAGGAACUGAACAGUCGGAGAGCUGGCUGCAAUGAAUUUGACGAUGGCUUGCACUACAUCAGGAUGCAGAAGAAGAUAUAGUAAGAGCCUACCUAGACUUCUCAAGAAAGUUUCCUGAAAGCAAUAUUUUCCUUUGUCGUACUAGUCUCAAGGAUGCUGGUCUCAUCUUCCUACUGUGUGGCCUGUAAUCACCUCUAUCUACAGCACCACUCUCUAUGAGUCCCUUCUGUGUGCUGGCCUUUGUCACAGUCUGGGUCACAGUGGUGAUUCCCAGCAGUGAAGGGGUGGGGUGUCUGGAGCCUUUGUAUAAACACAGUAGUCUGCUGGGAGCAUUGAUGAUUAUUGUUGAUGACAAUGAGAAAAAAAAUGAAGUUAACCAUUUGUUUAAUGUGCUGCCAA
rnacentral:lncRNA from 1 species